rnacentral:sRNA from 1 species
AGGCAUAAGACAGGGAUCAGCUUGGAAAAACACACACAAAAAGAGCACAGCCUUGCUAGAGCUCAGAAAUGAGAACAUCACACAAACAAUUUCAUGGUUGUUUUCUGGCCUGAAAAGUAUGUUUUGCUAUCAAGUUGCUAUCAAGUGCUAUCAAGUGUUCUAGUUUGGGAAAAGUGUUUAUUAUCUUUCCUGUUUUUGUUUGAUGGUUUGUUUACUUGCUUCCUUUCUUGUUUAAGAAUUCUUUCUUUAUUCUGGAGGAAAAAAACCCAAAUUCUAUUAUACAUUAUCAUGUUCCAAGCUCUAUUCUAUUCAUUUUAUAUAUAAUAAUUCAGUCUUCACAAUAACCCAAUAAGGUAAAUAUUUUUAUACUACCCUUCCCUCAUCAGCAAACUAAUCUAUUAACUUGAUCAGUGUCUCAGACAAUUCUACAUUCACUAUGGACUCUGUGUUCUUGCCCAUAAGCUGGGAACACAUGUAUUGCAAUAGACAGCAAGUAGUGGUCACUGGCAUUUCAGUCAGCAACCAAGAGAACAAAAAUACAACCUCCUUAACUUCCAACUUUUCCAGUUUAAAAUUCUAGUGACUAUACCGACAUUAUUACUGUUAAUGAAAAUAGAAAGGGUAGCAUUACUAAGGUCAUGCCCCUCUCCCACACAACUAGGCUCUGUGACUUUAGGUCCCUCAAUCUGUUUGGACUCUACUUGUUUAGAUAGAUGAUAGAUAGAUAGAUAGAUAGAUAGAUAGAUAGAUAGAUAGAUAGAUAGAUCUUAAUGGGGUUUAAUAAGUCAUCUAUUAUUUCUAAACCUAGCAAAUUUGUUUUAACUAAGAAAGAAGGAAAAAUCCUUCCCAAAUCUCUCUCAACCUCUCUGCACAGAUCACACAACAAAGGAGAGGCCCCUUCUCUAGACACAACUGUAAAUAUCGAGUCGAGAGUUUGGGGAGAUAAGAAUAUCACCAAGAGCUUCCCUCCUAAGCGUAAACUCCAGCGGUCACAGGUAAACUAACCUCCAUACUACUCAGGUUAAGGGCUUCUAGAACCUCUCCCCACCCCCACCCCGCCCCCACACACAUCUGUCCCCAGUCUUCCUGGCAGUACUUUGUAUUAUUUCUCCCACGGCAUAUCUUAAUCAGUGGCAUAUCUUAAUCACAUAUUUGAAAUAAUUGGUUAAUGCCUGUCUGGCCUACUUGAUUUAAUGCUUUAUAACAAAGUUACCUGUUUUGCUUACCACAAACAGUGCGCCCAGGACAAAAAACAAAUGUUUGUUUUUAACUGAUGGUCUCAAUUAUUCUUUACCCCUUCCCAGUGAGUGAGGUAGGGAAGUUUAAUAAAAAUUGUUUCUUCUACCCAGCUACCCACAAAGCUGGACCCCAGACUCCACAUCUUCUGUUCGCAGAUCAGAACUCAGUCUGGCAUACCCUGGUGGUUUUGCCAUUGCAAGCUCAUUUUAAUGGACAUCUACAUCUAGCAGUCACUUGGUGUCACUCUAACCCCAUAGAGUUUAGCUGAAGACACUGAGUAGUGACCAGUAGCCUACAUUGGGAGCGAGCACACACGUUCUCCUUUGAUUUGAAGUUGCAGGAGCUCUUUGAUAAUAUAAAAUAAAGUCUGUGUGUG